GGAAGGGGAAAGUGGGACUGGCCGGGCCUGGCUGGACCGGUCUGCGCCUUCCCGUUCGCCCCGGGGGAGCCCACCUCUGCUGGCGGCCUCAUCAGAAUAGGAAGAAAGUAGCACCUUCGGACGCUGCUCUGGACCUUAGGCGCCCGUCAGAAGGGAAAGGACGAGUUCCCUCAUCAUCCUGUUAUGCGGAGAACUGUUUAUCACAGCAAAGAGCAUGAGACCUGAACCCAGAUCACCCUGGGAAAGGGAGCAGGGUGACACAGUGUGAACGAAUAACAGAGCACUUCCUGAGAUGAAAAAGAAGAUGGAAAAGGAGAUGGAAUCUCAAGAGACUUUCAUGGCCAUAAACCCCGACUCCUGAGCUAAGGUUUGAGCCCUUGCCUAUCUCUGUCAGGUAUUUAACUGGCAUUUUCUUGCACCCCUUCCUUCACAGUGGGCUCACUACUUCUGAGGGCAGCUGAUUCGAUUCUUGGGCAACUUUGACUCUUGGAAAAGUGCUUCAAAUUGAACAGGAGUCUGUCUCUCAGUGGCUGCUCUUGGUCUGGCCUUUCAGUCCACUUUCCCAACCACACUGUUUCUCUAAGAGUUGCCUCUUGUCUGAGAAUCAGCUGGGGAGCUCAUUAAAAUACAGAUUCUUGGACCCAGCCCUGACCUGGUGAAUCAGAAUCUCUGAGGCAGGGACUUAGGAAUCUGCAUCAGUUUGUAAGAUGAGGAGUUCCUGUUGCGGCUGAGCAGGUUAAGAACCCGACUAGUAUCCAUGGGGAUGUAGGUUCAAUCCCUGGCCUAGCUUAUUGGGUUAAGGAUCCGGCAUUGCCGCAAGCUAUGGCAUAGGUCAAGGAUGAGACAUGCAUCCGGCGUUGCUGUGGCUGUGGUGUAGGCUGGUGGCUGCAGCUCUGAUUCAAACUCCAGCCCAGGAACUUCCCAUGCUUCAGCUGUGGCUUUAAAAAGAAGAAAAAAAUUUUAAGAUAAGUUUUGUGGGCCCCUGAAAUGAGUUGGGAGGGUGCCCACACACAAAGAAUGUCCAAAGGGAAAGCCAGGAACUCAGAGGACCAACUUCUCCAACUUGUCAAACUCUGCCAAGGGUGGGGCUGAGUGGGGAGGAAGCCACAUUAAAUAGGGAUGAAUUAAUCCAGGAAAUCACAGAUAACAGCUAGCGCUUACUAAGUACCCACCCUUACGAAAGGCUUUGCUAAAUCCCUUGUGUGUGCACAGUUAUCUCCAUCUAACAAGCGAGAAAACUGAGGUUGAGAGAGGGGACUCAUCUAGGGAAAUACAUCUAGGAAGUGACAGCGCUGAGGUUUGUCUGACUCUGCACCCCUGCCCGCUGUCUGACGACUGGAUGAGAACAUCACGUCUGCACCUCCCAGGUCCAAGCCUCUUCUUUUAUCUCAAUGAGCAAAGUUGUUUUCCUUUAACUGUGGAGCCUGUUUUCACCCUCUUUCCUAGGAGGAAAGAAAUCUCUCCAGGUGAUUUCAAGGAGCACCAGCCAGUCCCCAAGAAGGCAGGGCUAUGUGGAGCUUCUGGUCCUGGGGGAACAGCACACACCCUCUGGGAGCAGUCUUGCUUGCAUAGGCUGCUCACAUCACACUGUCAUUCCUACGGUCAGGCCCACCCCUAACACUUGCAGAGCCUGAGCAAGGGUAUAAAUGGAGACCCACAGAGCACAUGUCUGAAGAUCUGGAAAUUAGAAAUUAAGGUAACAGGAGUUCCCGUUGUGGCUCAGUGGAAACGAGUCUGACUAGCAUCCAUGAGGACUCAGGUUCGAUCCCUGGCCUCUUUCAGUGGGUUAAUGAUCCAUUGUUGCAGUGAGCUGUAGGUGUUGGUCGAGGACUCAGCUUGGCUUGACUCGGCUCAGCUCGGCUAGGCUCUGGCGUUGCUGUGGCUGUGGUGUAGGCCAGCAGCUACAGCUCCAAUUGGACCUCUAGCCUGGAAACCUCCAUAUGUACAGGUGUGGCCCUAAAAAGACAAAAAAAAA
rnacentral:lncRNA from 1 species